AUGAGUUCUCACAGCGAGGUCACUGAAGAAGCAGUCAUCGUCGAUUUCUUUUCUUUCCCCUGGCCUUGGCCCUCUUCUGCCUCGCCUCCUCUUUCUGUCUCUCAGCCUCCUCCCUCUCAAACUUCUCGCUCUCCCUCUUCUGCAAGAAGUCCUGCACCGCCAGAUAGAUCACCUGCAUUUCCAGCAAAAGCAAGAACCAGAAAAGACCUUCGAAAUCAGCUCCGAAAUCCAAAAAUAAUACUGUCCAUCAACGCAAUUCGCUACUAUUCAAGGAGGAGCGAAUUGAUUCGACAGACAACAAAGAACAAAGGCGUCACGCACCCCGAUUGUGAGGAGGGAGAGCCCGACGAACGAGACCGUGAGCAGCACCGACACCACGGUGGCGGUGACGCUGUCGUCGUCGGCAGCCACCCUCAUCAUGGCCUCGGUUUGCUCCACCUCUUCGAUGGCGGCGGCAGGCGGGCGCAGCCUCCUGGCGAGGCGCAAGCGCCCGGUGCCUCCCCCGGCAUUCCUACCACGGCGCGGAGCAGCGACGCACCUCGAGAAGAGCGCUGGCCUGGGUAUCGUGGGUGGCGCGAGAGGGAGGAGGGGGAGAGAGCACGCUGCCGCCAUUAUCCCGUCCCUCGCGCCAGCGGAAGGAAAGGGGAUGCAAAUGAACGGUCGGAACGAACGGGGAAAUGGAUGGGCCAAUCCGGCGCGCAAUGGGCCCGUACCGGGCAGCGUGGAUGGGCCGAGGCCUGCCGCGUCGCCGUGCGCGCGGGCCCGCGCCGGGCGGCCGAGAGAAUUCCAGAGAAAUCGAUCCCCAUCGAGACGAAGGAAACCGAUGAGGACGCCACCGCUGUGUCCGCGCGGCCGGACCUGUCUGCAUUCGCCAGUUUGUUUGUGACACGCACUCGAAGAAGAGAAAGCCAACGAACGAGCGCUCACCGCACCGCACUCGACUAA
rnacentral:rRNA from 1 species